AUGGUUUGGCACCUCGAUGUCGGCUCGUCGCAUCCUGGGGCUGGAGUAGGUCCCAAGGGUUGGGCUGUUCGCCCAUUAAAGCGGUACGCGAGCUGGGUUUAGAACGUCGUGAGACAGUUCGGUCCCUAUCCGCUGCGCGCGUAGGAAAUUUGAGAAGAUCUAUCCCUAGUACGAGAGGACCGGGAUGGACGAACCUCUGGUGUGUCAGUUGUUCCGCCAGGAGCACCGCUGAUUAGCUACGUUCGGAACGGAUAACCGCUGAAAGCAUCUAAGCGGGAAGCCAGCUUCGAGAUGAGAUUUCCAUCCCUUCGGGGGAGAGGCUCCCAGCCAGACGACUGGGUUGAUAGGCCGGAUGUGGAAGACAGGACUAAAGACUGUUGAAGCUGACCGGUACUAAUAAGCCGAUAACUUGAUAA
rnacentral:rRNA from 1 species